GAUAUCUCCAUCUCAGGGGCCACUCUACAUAUUUCAUUUCAAUAGGAUCCAAUCAUCAAGCACUCAUAAUUAUUAGUGUGUACCUCACAAAUAGAAUUGGACCUUAAUUCGUGCAUGCCUAAUCUUUGCCACUAAAACAGGUGAGUAUGGGAGCAUACUGUGAUGUCUCCAAGCACACCCAAGACAAGAGACCUGCUAAUAUCGUCCCCGGCAACAAGUGGCAAACAGAUAGCCCCAGAGAAAUCUAAUCAAGAUCACACUGCCUGCCCUUGCACUUACAGCAUUGCAUGCUUUGAGCUCAUGGCUCUGUCCCUUGCCAACCUGUCAGGAUAGCUGCACCUAAACUGCAGCGUUCCCUUCUCUUCCUCCCCCCUCAUCUGUAUAAAUUCAUCAGCUUAGCACCACCAUCACCUCAUCAGUUCAUCCAGAAAGCACAAGCUAAAGCAGCACCACUACACCUAGCAAAGAAAGAGGAGUAAACCAAACAUGGUUAGUGCCAAGAGACUUUCUCAGAUGGCAAAGAAGUGGCAGACAAUAGCGGCCAUCGGGAGGAAGAGGCUCACCCGGACCACAACAGCGGCGAAAGGAGCAGGUAAUGACGAGUGCUGCGCCACUUCACCGUCGGUGGCAAUGAAGGGCCACUGUGUGGUGUACACCGCCG
rnacentral:lncRNA from 1 species